rnacentral:rRNA from 1 species
CCUACGGGUGGCAGCAGUGGGGGAUAUUGCACAAUGGGGGGAACCCUGAUGCAGCGACGCCGCGUGGGUGAAGAAGCGCCUCGGCGCGUAAAGCUCUGUCAGCAGGGAAGAAAAUGACGGUACCUGACUAAGAAGCCCCGGCUAACUACGUGCCAGCAGCCGCGGUAAUACGUAGGGGGCAAGCGUUAUCCGGAUUUACUGGGUGUAAAGGGGGCGCAGGCGGCGGUGCAAGUCAGGAGUGAAAGCCCGGGGCGUAACCCUGGGACUGCUUUUGGAACUGGGUGGCUGGAGUGCAGGAGGGGCAGGCGGAAUUCCUGGUGUAGCGGUGAAAUGCGUAGAUAUCAGGAGGAACACCGGUGGCGAAGGCGGCCUGCUGGACUGCAACUGACGUUGAGGCCCGAAAGCGUGGGGAGCAAACAGGAUUAGAUACCCCAGUAGUC